ACCAAAAUUGUAUACAAUAUGGGAAAUUUCUUUUUUAUAUAUUAAAUAAUAAAGUCCAACAAUUUCCAUCAGAAUCAUUUGUUUGUGUUUUCUAAAUGAAGUAACUAAAAGCAAUAAUUAAUAUAUAUUGUCCUUUUUUUUCUUUUUUUACCUCAAAUCUUGAUGGAUCAAAUUUUUCAGGUUGAGGGAAAAUUUCUGGGCUGUGAUGAAUGUUUCUGAAUAAAGGCAAAACUUUCCAUCCUUUUGGAAUUAAAUAUCCUGCAAAUUAAGAAAUUUAGAAGGAAAAAAGGUUAAGUAAAGAAAAGGGUUUUUAAUUUGGUUCAUAAUUUAAAUUUAACUUUUUUGGGUUUUCUUUUACUUACCAUCAAAUUCAACAUCUUCCACUGCUUCUCUAAAAGUAAACGAUAGAACUGAAGCCACUCUUAGAGUUUCUUGAAUUACUCUUGAAGUUAUUGGCAUAUUUUUGGUGUCAGCCCAGGUGAGAUUGUCAUCUCCAUUUUCUUUUGAUUUCACUAUUGAUUCUUGUUCAGCCUACAUGCCCAAAACACAGAGGAGAGUCAAAUUUCUUAACUUUUUUGAAAGAAUGAAGUGGGAAUUGGUUAUGAAGUUUAGAGAUGAUUCUUACUGUUACAGCUUGAAGAAUACUUGGGUUCUCUCCUAGGUAUUUCACGAUCCAUGUUAGAACACUCGCGGUGGUGUCGCGGGCAGCGAAGAUGAGACCUAUGACGUUAUCGGCGAUUUGUUUGUCGGUGAGGCCUUCUUUUUCGCCCAUGAAAGAUCCAAGGAGGUCGUCGUACUCCCGCUUCGUUUCCCUUCUUGUCGAGAGGAUUUUGUUUAGUAUUUCUGCUAGCUCUUUCCUUGCUUUCAUGGCCUUGUGGAAGAGUGUUCCGGGGAGGUUAAUCGGCAUCGAAUUGUAGCCAUUUUCAAGAAUGUAGUAGCAUCGCUUGAGGUCUUCGAAGUAAAGAGCUUCGUCUUUUCCGAAUAUCGAAAGUAACGAAACCUCGAAUGCGAACUAAAGAAGAAUAGAAAGAAAGAUCAGCUAAACACACCAAUUACUCUAAAUGGGGAUAAGGAAAACAGAGUUUUUUUUUUUUUUUUUAAUCUAACAUAAACAGAGAUGCUCUGUUUUUAAACGUACCAUCUUCAUUUCUUGAAAGGUAUUAAUCAAUUGUCCAUCCCAUGAUUGAACGGUGUUUUUAGCAAUGGAUUCGAUACUCGGAACGAUGUUCCGAAUCGCCUCAGGCAUGAAAGUUCGAAGAACAAGACGUCUCAAUUUGGCAUGGUAAUCACCUUGAUGAAAAAAGAUAGCAUUUUUUCCCAACAUCCUCUCUUUACUAGCUGGAAAUGUAGGCUUAAAGAGAUGAGCUUUAGUCACCAAUACAAACUUAACAGCUUCAGGACUAGAAAGCAUCACACAAGGAUAACCCAAUAUAUGUGACUUAAAAAUUGGACCAUAUCUGCAAAAAAAAAAUCAAAACAACACAAAAUUCAUCAAAAACCCCCUUCAAUUUUUUUUUUUUUUUAAAAAAACCCAGAGUUGAAAAAAAAAAAAGCGACCUCUUCUUUUUGGAAGCGAAGAAGACAUUGGGAUCUUGAGAGUAGAGUUGGAGGGUCUCACCCAAAUAGGGCCAACCCAUGGAACCAGGGGGAAGGGGAAGUUUCCGGCGAGAGGGAGCAGAGAAUUUGAAAAGAUAAUGGAAGAAAAGAAGGAAGAAGAAGGCUAGGAGGGAGACGAAGACGUACAUGGUUAGAAGUAGUAGGAGUUGUUUUGAAGGAAGAAAAAAAUGGGAGAGGAAAAAUAUAAGGAGGAUGAAGAAAGAAAGUUUUAAGAAAGGGGUAUAUAUAGUGUUUUGUGGAAUGAGUUAAAAAGAAAAGGAAAGAAGGAAGGAGGAGAGAAGGGGAGGAAACAGAGAAAACAGAGGAAAGAGGUUUUCAAUACAGCUCAAGGCGCACACACACGGAAUCUCCUUCCAGCUCAUACACUUCUCUCUCUCUCUCAACUCUUUCUACUUCUAACAAUUCCCUUUCUCUCUUCUUCUUCUUCUUCUUCUUCUUCUUUUUUUUUAUUUUAUUUUAUUUUAUUUUACCAAAAGGAAUGAACUAGUCGGACGUUGAUUCGAAAAUAUGUUAAGUAGAUGGAUAGAUAGUGGUGAUAUGGGUGACAAUCUCCCAUGUCUCAGGCUUCCAGUUUCGCUUACAAACAAUAUGGAAAAAUUACAAAAACCAUCUUUAUCAACUAUAAUCUUUGUUAUAACCACACCAAUAAAAAAAAACAUCCAUUACUUCCUCUAGUUAGUUAAAUUUUAGUAUUUACCCUUGUUAGGAAAUUAUAUUAAAUUUCAUAAAUAUUAAGGUAUGAAUAGUAUAAUUAGGACGAAAAAUAUAUAGAAAAGAAAAAAAAAUAAAGAAGAAGAAGAAGAAGAGUAUAGUGUUUUAAUUAUGGGAAGAGAGAAGGAGAGAAGGAGAGAAGGAAAGGAAGUUAGAGAGCACGUGUCCGAAGGCAAAAGGGCUACAAAAAUAGCGUGUGGGGAUCCUCAAAUAUUUUAAUUUGGUUAGAUAAAGAGUGGCGCUACUGAUUAGGAGAGGUUACAAUUUGUAAUCUACAUUCAUUUUCUUAUAUAAAUUAAAUGUCCUUUGGCUCAGACAAAAGGGGACUUUGUAUUAUAAAUAUUCAACAAACUUUACUAUUUUUUAUUUUUAUUAUUACUUUUCUAUACACUCACUAAUCAUACUCUUAUUAACCUUAUUCUUCAUCACCUCUUCACCUUCUUUUCUAUUCAUUCUACACUCUCUCACCAACCUUUCAAUCCACUUUCCACUUUCAUAUAUUUUCUUUUUCAUUUAUUCUGACUAUAUUUAUAACAUAUACAUAAGUUAAAUAUGAGUAUAUAAUCCUUUUAUAUUCUACAAUACGUAUAUAUACAUAUACAGCUUAUGCAAUCUAUCUACGUGUCUUUAAUGAAUAGUUUUUUUAAUUGACAAAUCUUUUCUUUUACUUUAAAAAAGAAUCGAUGGAAUACACGCUAGUUUUAUUUAAAAAGUUUCAUAAAAUUAUAAAUAUAGACAAAAUGUUUCACAAGAAUAGGAGAGAAGGAGAUAUAGGUCAUGUGUUGGAAGUAGUCAUAUAAUUAACAUUUUUUUAAAGCAAUACUAACAAAGUCAUCUUUUGUGUGGGAUUUGUUAAUUGUUUCACAAUCUCCUCAUGAACUUUUUAAUCCUAUCAACUUCAACCGAAAAAAAAAAAAAUCUUAGAUGUGUGUGAGAGAUAGUUAGAUCAUGCAACCAAUUUUCUCUCUUUUUCUUUGAAAUUGUAUACAAUUCUUGGAUGUAAAGUAUUUUAAAAAGCAUAACUAAUUUAACAAUUCCGUUUAGAUAGAAUCAACAAAACUUCAUUUUUAUCGAAACUCUCGUUUUUAUAGAGGCGAAAAUAUAUCUUCAUACAAAAUGAAAAUAGUAUAGAUGUUGGUUAAUUGAUAUACAUCAAAUUAAAAUGUCUAAAUUUAAUGGAUAUGAUAAUGUCAACGUAUAUUUUGAAAAAUAACGAUGUACUUUUUAAAAAUUUUACUCGAUAAGUUUUAAUAAAUAAUAAUCAAUCAUCAUAUUAUGAGUAUUUGUAUAUUCGUUUAGUUGACAACUUUUUUUUAAAAAAAGAACACAAUGUAUAGUAUGUUUUUCAAAGAAAGCAAAUAUUACAACUUCAUCUCCAAGUCGUCAAACACAUCAAUUUAUUAAAUUGUUUCAACACAUCUCAAUCAUUCAAAAAAAAAAAAAAUGAAAUGAAAAGAAAAGCUCUACAGCCAUAUAAUUCCAAAAACUUAUGGGUUAAUUAUGAUGUUAAACAAACAGGCAACAACUCAAGUGUGGAAAUUAUAUAAUUUCAUCAAACCCUUAUCCAAUUAGCAUGCAUGCACAACUAACUAAUGUAGUUGACUUUUGCUUCUUCAAUAAUGGAAAUUAAUUAUGCAUAUUUGAGAGUCAAUAUAUUAAUUUAUAUUAGCCCUAAAUUUAAUUAAGAAGUAGUGUUCAUUGUCAAUUCAAUGAUUUUUCUUCAUUCAUAUUCAUGAAAAAGAGGGUUUUUUUUUUCCCACUACUAAAAUAAUAGUUUUAUUAGAGACUUCAAGUCUUUAAUAUUUUAUGUUUUCCUUUUAGAACAUCAACUUGCAAGAUUUCAUUCAAAAAACUCUUUUAUGCAUUGCUUUUGUAUUUUAAUUAAUUAUAUAUUCAUCGUUCAUCUAAUAGAUAUCCAACAAUUUCUUCGCUAUAUGUCGUUCAGAAUCAAAAGAUUUGUAGUUCAAAUUUCAGUUGACAUCAUUAUUUGUACUAACAAAACUAUGCACUUUUCGUUUGACAAACAAUAACCAAUUACUUCAGUUUUAGGGUUAGGAAAAAAAAUCCUAUACUCUUUUCCUUUUGUGUCACAUGACAAAGAAUGAAUUUCUUCACGUUUAGGAGUAGAAAUGUGAGGCUCAAAUAAUUGAAGCUAUUGAAAAUUAUUCCAAAUGAUAUAGGUACAAAUACGCUUAUCUUCUAGAUAUUAAAUACGUAAUAUGUAGAAGAACAUAUCUCGAUCGAGAUAACGACUACGGUCAUUGUAUUGUAUCUAUCUAUCACACUGACUAAUCUAUAUCUAAAUCUUUUGUAUAUCAAAGUGGAAAGAAAAGUAAAAUAAUACAGUCUUCUACAUUGUACGCGCAAUUCACUUGUAUUAUGUAAUUUACUGAUGUAUGAGCCUUUAAAUGCUCAUAAAUAAUUGAAAGGUGACGACCUAAAUUUAUUUGCCCGCAAAAUAAAUGCUAACUCCCAUCCCUUGAAAUUCAAAGGACAACUCUCUCCCUCUCACAAAUGGUGAUGAAUUUUGCCUUUGUGCAUUUAUGAAGGCUAAAAGCAAGUGUGUGUAGUAGUUGCAUCUACCUCCAUCAAGUUUGACCCAUAUGGAAAAAAUGUCAAUCUCUUUGUAUUUGGACUAAUUUAUUGCAACUCCUCUAUUUCUUUCUUUCUUUAUAUAUAUAUAUAUAUAAAUUGUGGUGUGAGGGAAAGAAAGGGUUUCCAUUAUUAUUACUAAUUAAAGAGAAAAAUUAAAGGAGUUCAUUCUCAUACCUUUGAUCUUAUUAUUUUCAUCUUUGACUUUUUUUUUUAAAUACUUUAUUUUUAUUUCUCAACGUUAAUUUCAAAUAUUAUUUCAUUUUGGUUUUUAAUGCAUUUUUUCAGUAAUUAUUUACUAAAGAAAAUUGAAGUCAAAUUGAAAUCAAGUACUGUUUAUGGUCUACAUGUGUAGUUUUAAAUAUAUUUUCACUUAAAAUCUUCAUUCAGUCAAAUAUAAAAUAUGUGCCACAUGCAAAUUUCCAACAAUAAAAUAAUCUUUUGAAAAUUUUAAAAUUAAUAGGUAGGAUUAAAAUAAUUUAUUUAAUACAAGAUUAAUUAAGGAGACAAAAUAUAAGGUGUGGAAGUAUUAAAGUAAAUAAAAUAGAAUAAAAAUAAACAGACAACAUGAGCCUUUGUUUAAGUGUAUUAUUUAGUCUACUUCCAUUUUUCUACUUAUUUUCAAAUAAUAAUAAUAAUACACCAAAAAAAUUAGGAACAAAGUUAGAUUUGAGAUUUGUUAUUUUAGGUUUCCAUGUGCAUUUUGAUCAAUUUGGUAUGUAUACUUUAAAAUGUUUCAUUGUUUUUGUUAUUUUAAACUCUCUAAAAAAAGAAAUUAUUAUAAAUGGCAAAAAUACUAAAAUUAGAUUUUAGAUUCUUUCUAAAAUUCUAUUUAAUGUUUAUUUUAAUAUUUUGAUUCAUCCUGUUGUUUUUUAAAAUAUCUCUGUAUUUAUUAUGGUAAUUGUUUUUUUUUUUUAAUUUGUGUUAAACUUAGUGAAAAGUUUCUAAGUCUAAAUUUUUUUCUAAAAAAUGUGUACUGUUGAUGGAUAUUCUAAAAAACAUAUUGAAUAUUUUUUUUCAUAAAAAAACUAGACUAAUUAUAAACAAACCUAAUCUUUGUCCUCAUUUGGACAUUUUUAAUUAAACUUUUAAAUUUUAUUUAAAAAAAACUUCAUUUUUUCGUAUAUAAAACUUAAUCCUAACUUCGAAACAUUUCUAAAAUGUAAAAGAUAAAAAUAAAAGAAUCUCGUGAAAAAAAUGUUUGUUUGUGUUUCUUUUAAUUCAACUCGAAUUUGAACUUCAUCGUUUAUUAUUAUUUUAUUUACAAUUGCAUUACAUUCUAGUGGUAAAAAAAGAUAAAGUUAUUUACAAGUAUCUGUAGACUAAUUAUAAUCAAAUUAAAGAAAAUAUUGAUGUUGGUUUCAAACUUUUAUUAUAAUUAUCUUUCACUAUCUAUCUAAUAAUAUGAAUUAAGUUGACCUUGAUUAAACUAGUUAAAUUAGUUAAUUACUUGGCCAUAUGUAUUAUGUAAUUAUUACACCAUGAUAUGAUGAUGUUUUUUGUUCUACCUACUUUUUUCUCUCUUUCAAAUUAACCUUUUGACUUUUCCUCAAUUAAAUGGAAAAAGUUAGAAAUGAUUAAUCACUAUACUAAUUUUGAAAUUUUCCUCUCUUUAAUAUUAUUUUCAUGCAUGCUUCUCUUUUUCUCCAUAUACCUAAUUUUCAAAUAUGAUACACUUAUGUUAAAUAAUUUUUAUUAAAUUAUAAAUUUAAUCUAUCAACUUUUUUUUUAUUAAAUUGUGUUUAAUAAAAUCUGACUUUCAAAAGUAUCUAAUGAUCCUUUUUAAACAACAAAAAUAAAUUUGUUAAAAUUCACAAACUAAAUUGAUGAAUUAAACCAUCACAACUCAUUUCUCUAAAUGGUACAUAUUGUCUAUUUUAGAUUAUAUAUAUAAACCCUAAUAACUUUACUUUAGUUAUUUACCCAUAACAUUAAAUACUUUCCAAAAUUAUCUAUUUAAUUAGCCAUCAAUAUUCUCAAACCCAAUUUGUAUUUAAAAAAAAAAAAAAAUUAGCAUUUGUAACUCCAAUAAUUUUAAAAUCAGUCUCUACCUAAUCUAACUUUUAUUGAAAUUGGUAAAAUAAUAACAACAACAACAAUUUUGCUUUAAUAUAAAAGACACAAUGUGAAUAUGUUAUCAAGAUGUUUCAAAAGAAUCAUAGUUCCAAAAAGUCAUCAAUAAGCUAACCAAAAAGACAAAUUCUAAAUUUAAUUAAAAGUUAAAAAAAAAAAAAAAAGAAGUAAGAAUGUAGACAUUUAUUUAAAAUUAGAAAUAAGAAAAAUGUAAUAUUUAAAAUUAAAAAGUAUUUAAGGAAAACAAAUUUUUGGUAUGAAGAAAAUGUGGGGAGAAAAGACUGAAAAGUUUGUAGGGCCCUAAAGUCAGCAGUCAUAAAUAAGAAACAGUCAAAUGAAAUAUAUAUAUAAAAAUUGAAUAAAUACAGAGUUUCUGUUAUAUUUCUCAGUCAUAAUUAGUAUAGAUUCAUAAAACAAAUAAUAAUAAUAAUAAUUUAAAAAACUUCUUUUUUUUUAAUAAAAAAGUACAGAAAUUUGUACAACAAAUAACACACCUGCAUGUUAUGUGCCAAAUCCAGAGAACCUAAGCCACUUGUCAUCAUUUUUAUAUUCUUUAUUCUCUUUCUUUUUUUCUUUUCAUAAUUUUUGUUUAUGUAUAUAUAUAUAUAUAUAUAUAUAACUUAUAAUUUGUGAUUGCAAUGGGUAUGUACAAGGGAAGGAAAUUACCCUAAAAGGCUCUACACUGCCAAUCAAUCUAACUUAUCAUUUAUUUAAUUUAUUUUCCUCUUUUCAAUUUCACUAAUCAAUUCACUACAAACCCCUCUUAAUUUCCUCUUACUUAUUUCUUUCUUGAGAAAAAACACUAUCAAUAUUAAUCUACCAGGAUACAACCAAGAUACUAUACUAAUUUACUUAUUUAACUUGAAAGCAUUUAAGAUGAUGUGCGAACUUGUGAAGGUAAAUUUAGUAUCAUAUUAUUUUACUAUUUGAGAAAAAAAAAAAAAAAACCUAUUGCAUUAAUUAAUUCUUCCAAAUGUUUUAUACCCUCUCCUCUAUCUGUAUUAAUUAAUUCAUUUAUUCAUUCAUGAAAUCAUUACUUUUUUUCUCUUCUAUCCCUCCCUAAUUUCUUCUAUAAGAUUUUAGCUAUGGUACUAAGAGUCUUUGCUCAAACCAUAAAUGGAUUGUACUAAAAAAAUCUCUUUCUAAAAUCGUUCUAAUGAAUGUUUGUGUUUGUUUUUCUUCUUCUUAUUAAUUUACUUCUUGAUGGUCAGCUGGCUAACUUCUUUUCAAUGGAUUAAGGUAGAUGUAUGUUGUCAACCUUUAAAGGUAAUAUAUUUCAAUAAAAGUGUUUUUUUUUUUUUCUAGACCACAAUAUUUUUUACAAACUAGGUUUUUAAAAUUAAAUAUUCUAUACACACUACUCUAUUAAUUGAUAUUAGUUUCUUUUACCUUUUAAUUUCAUUUUACAGCGUCAACUAUAGGAGUCUAAUGAAUUGAAGUUUGAUUUAAAUAAUACUUUCAACUUCUGUAUAUUUUCUCUAUUUCACUCGUUAUUUCAUACUUUUUAGUUAUUUGGUUCAUUUAUUGUAAAAUAUUUUCACAUGCACAGUAAAAACCUUUAAAACAAUUUUAUGGCUACAUUUUAUUGAAAUUAAAUUUAGUCAACAUAGUGUAAUAUAUACUAAAGAUUUUGAUAGAAAAAUCACGAAAUAAAAAUAAAAAUGAAAGAACAGAAUUGAUCGUUUCAUUUUUAAGAAGCUGGAGAACCUUACAAUAAUUUAUGUGGUAAAUUAAUGAAUUAAUUUAAAGAAAAUUGGGGAUGAGAAUGAAUAUUUAGUUGAUAAAAGUGAUUGGGAGAUGCAUAAAAUUAAACAUGGUGCAACAAAACGUCGAACCGACACCAUAUUGACAGAAAUUCUCCGGUGACCCAUUGUAGUUAGAGACCCAUCCAAUCAUUCUCUUCAAAAUAUUUGAAUGGAAAAAUUCAAUAUGAGACAUUUGGAAAGACAAAGAAGAAGCAUCCAAGUUUUUUUGGUUGGGUGUUGAGAGACAAAAUUAAAGCCCUUUCAUUAGACAAAAAUGAGGUCAAAUGUAACCUAACCCUCCUUACCCUAUUUUUAUUUAUAUGUGUGUAUGUGUAUAUAUAUCAUAAAUAUUGGAGUCAAGUCAGGACAAAAUGAAGAAAAAUCAAAUUCUUGAAUUUUUCUAAUCUCUUACCAAAGAAAUUUGACAUACUUUCUAAGUUUUGAAAUUUUGAAUACGAGAAUUACUUUAAAAUUAGAGCCAAUGUAUUUGAAUUUCUAGAUAGAUUGAUUUAAGACUUUGAAAGGAAGGAAAAGUAUUCAUAUAUGGUAAAUAUAGAAGAGAGAGUACAAUUUUUGUACACUAGGAAGAGUAGUGUAAUAUCCAUGUAUCACAUGUAAAAUGUUGGGCUUAUAUAAACCAUCAAAUACGAAAUAAAUAUUAAAUAUUUUCUUGAUUAAAUUUGUGAUGUAAAUUUAAAUAAUAAUUAAAAUUGAAAGUAUGACAACUAUCUAUUACCCUUUGCUUUUUGGUUUGAAAUUUUAGUUUACAAAUAUUACUUUCAUUCAAAUGUUUCUCUUUCUUUUGAUUUUAAUUUCUACAUUCAAAAGAUUUUCUCAAAUUUAAAAUCUACUGAAAAUAUAAUCUAAAAUAAGUUUGCAAAAAUAGUAAAAAUAUCAUGAAAAGUGGGAGUAGAUAUUAUUUAAAAAUCAAACUAAAUUAAAAUAAAUAAAUAUAUAUAUAUAUCUAAACAAUUGAGAAGUUUAUUGUUUUUCGUAGAGUUCAUGCAGCAUCCCAAUUUUGUCAUAUAUUAUAAACUUAGUUUUUAGCCUUAGCUUACAUGUUUAAACCUUUCUAGAUGGAUGGUUAUAUUUAAUUCAUGGCCGUAAAACGAUGUAAUAAAUAACAUUUUAAAAAAAAUUCAAUACGUAAGAUUUUCUUGAAAAACUGUAUUAGAUGAUAAAAGAAAAAAUCUACAUCACAUUCUUUUUUGUUUACCGUAGAUAUGACAAAUAAUUAAUGAUAUUAGGGUUAUUCAAUUUUUAAUUUUCUACUUUUUCAAUUUAAAAAAAUGCGCUGACAUAUUACACUCUAAUGUAAUAAAUUCUUUUUGCUAUUUUCGCAAUUAAGAUUAAAUUUGGAUAUUUAUAAUUUCUUGAUUUUAUUAUCACAUUUUAUAGUGUACACUCUAUUUCUGAUUUCCUUUGUCAAAUAUGUAAAGAGAUAUUUGAAAAUUUACUUUUUACAUUUCAGCAUGUUACAAUUUUUUAUCAAUGAUAUUUGAAUGUCGUAUCAACCUUAUUCCUAAGUUUUAAAAUUUAUUAUUUUUAAGUUCUUUAAACAAUAGUUAAUUUUAAAAAAAUUUAUAAACUUUUAAAAAUAAUAAAUUUGAUCAAAUAUUCACAACAUAUAGCAAAAUUUCAGAUUCUGUCAAUAAUAGAAAUUGAUAGACAUUAAUAUUCUUUUAUUAGUGACAUUAAUAGACAAUGAUAGAAUCCAACAUUUUGCUAUAACUUGUAAAUAUUUUAAUUUAUUUUGUUAUUUUUAAAAAUAUUUCUAAAAUUAGGAGGGUUCUGUUUUUUUCUUUAACUGUUAAUAUAAUUUUUCAGUGUAGAAGGGUUUAUAAACUUAAUUUUCAAAAUAAAAAUUAGACUAAAAUGAAACUUACAAUUUAAAAAAAUGAAUUAAAUUGUGAUCUUUGGAACUUAGGACAGACGGAAUCCAAAAUUUAGAACUAAAGUAUACUUUUUGUAAAAGAGAAAACAAUAUGAAAAGUACAUAUCCGAUAUAAUACGAACAAAGAAUUUACUAAAGUAACUUUACAUUACUUUUGUAGGUUAAGUUCAAAGACUUAAUUAAAAGUAAUUACUUUAAUUUAAUCAAUUUUGGAAGUGGGUAAAUUAAUUAAUGUUAAUAUAAUAUAUUUUAUUUUUUAAAAAAAGGAUUAAUUUGUCAAUUAACAACACAUAGCCACCAAAGAAUUAUGGCCCACAAUAUAGUUUCCACCAAAGACCCAACCGAUUAUAUACAUAUUAUUAACAAACUAUAUAUUAUUAAUAUAUACCAACUUCAAAGUACUAUUAAAAUCAAUAUAAUAUCGUAAUUGUCCUAAUUAAUUAUGUCAUCAAACUAAACUUUUUUAUGCAAAAUCCAUCAAUUUGACAAGUGGUACAACCACAAGUGGAGUUCAUAUUCUCUCAAUUUUUUCUUUAUUAUGAGACUUUAAUUUACUAAAACUUGCUCAUAUACAGCUUGAUUACCACUUUACAUAUUAAUUAAACAAAAUAAUGUAUGUGUGGACACUAACCCACUACUGAUAGUUCAGUGUUUUAAGAUUUCUAUUUAAAGUAUAAAUUUCUCUAUCUUAAACUCAAAUUAAAUAAAUAAACAAAAUCUUUACUUCCACCAACAUGUAUCACCUUUAUUUAUAUAUAUAAUUCAUUCAUUUAUGUUGAUAGGGUGAAAUAUAAUUAUUUGGGAUGACCUUGGAUGUAUACACACACCACUCUUCUUAAUUAUUAUUAUUGUUGUUAUUGUUAUUAAAUUUACUAUUAAUGUUUGAUUUCUUUUUUUCAGUCAAAUCAUUGAAUUUGAAUAAUAAAAUGAUGAUGUGAUACUUAAAAGCUAUGCAUUUGCUAUCAUCUUUAUUUUUAUUUCCAUGGAGUUUUUUAUUUGAGGAAAAUAUGAAGUAAUGUUUUGGAAUGAUAUAUAUUUUCCGGACCGACUUGAAAAUAUAAAAGUAGAUUAGAGUUUGAGCUUCUGUUUUUUUUAAGAAAGAUGUAUUAAUUACCAUAAACAAUAUUGUCCGUCUCGAUCACACGAAAAAGAAACACAUGAAGACAAUAAAGAAAAUUUGACCUAAGAAUGGACUACAUCAUUACAUCUUCGGAAAGAGUAAGUCAAACCUCGAACAUUUGACCGACUAAUAAGAUCAACUACUUUAGUGUAAAGAAUAUAAUCCUUCAACUAUACAAUGUAGGAAAAUAAGAGAUUCAAGCUUUUAAUCCUUUGAUUACUAACAUUAUAUCUUAAUCGAAUAUCACUGUAACGAUUACUGUCAUGGGAUUGUUAACCUUAAUUCAACACAAGGGAUAAAAAAAACGAGAUGAUGCAAAGAAAGUUGAGAUAGGAGAAUUGAAGGAGACAGUGAAUGGAAUAUAAUAGAAUGGUGUUUUUCUUUUCUCUUCUUCUUCUUCUUCUUUUUUUUUUGGGGGGGUUGAAAAAGAAAAUAAUGAAUAAAUAAAUAAAUAAGGAAGAGAUGGCAUAAGAAAACAAAACCUUAGUUGGAUAGAGAAAGUCAAAUAAUUGGGACAAAAUUAGUGAUGAAUUGGAUUUGCUUGGGGAAAGCUGUUUUUUUCUUUAAUUUUGUUGUGUGGUUUUUGGAAGAUGGAGAAAUCUAGUUUGGGUUCCAGCUAUCAUUUUGCUUUUUUUCAUACCUUUUUUAGUGAAAGGAGAAAGGGAUAGAGAUCUUCCACUUGCAAUAAUUUUAAUAACAUAUCCAACCUUCUUUCCCCCCCUUUGCUUAUAUGGAUUCUUACAUCUUCAAUUCCUUUUUAAAUCAUAUAUAUCCUUAACUUCCUAUCACCUUUCUUUAAUAAAGAAAAAAAAAACCCAUAACCUUUAUAUUUGCAUCAUCUUAUACAAAACUCAACUAAUCUUAUACAACAAUACUUAUUCUUUCAAACUCUUCAUUUUUGUAUAACUCAGUUGAGUUUGUUUUACUAACUUUUUAGAGAAAGGGAAGUCCUCUCUCGAUCUAGGCUUUUUGUGUUAAUUUUUUCAUGAUUUAUUUAAAUAUCAAUGAAGGAUACUAAUUAAAAUUUGUGUCAACCUAGUUUGGUUAAAUCAGUGCACUUACUGAAUGACAUGCGCUACAUAUAUUUAUUUAGGAAAAAAACCCGAAUAGAUUGAUGAAUAUAUAACCAAACCUUUGACUUUUAGAGAAAAGAGUUGUACAAAAUAUCCUUGACCUAAAUUUACUUUGAUCCUUGAAUUCUUUAUUAAACCCAUAAUCUUCUUUUGAUUGUGAAACGUCCACGAUAAUUCGAUUAGUGAUAACUCCAUGGAAUAUUUUUGAGGUCCCACCUUUAUUAAUAUCAAUACAUUCACGUUUUUGGAUGGAGGAAGAUUUCAUCAUAUCAUAGAUGUAGAACCACAAAUGGUUUUUUGGAUUCAACCAUUUUUGUUUUUAUAAUUAAUUGUAAAGAUAUAUCGUGUAAAUUGUUGAAUAAAAUGAUUUGAAAAUGACAAUCACAAAGAUUUUGAAUUCGGUAUAUCCUUCUUUCUUCCUACGUUACUUUAAAUCUAUCACUUUGUAAUUUUCUUUCUUUCUUUCUUUUUUUAAAAAAAGGGCCAAUAAUGUUUUAUCUACCACAACUAAUUCUAUCCUCCCAAUAAUAAAUUUAUCACUAUCGUUAUUGUAGAUUUUUCUAACAAAGUGUAUAUAUAUAAAAUGAUAGUGAAUAAUUCCAAACAUUAUUCUUAUUUCAAGGGAUGGACUACAGAAAGAGUGGAUUUGGCACUUUCAUAAGUGUGGGAGAGAGCUUGGGUUGUGUAGAGAUUUAAAACAAAAUGGUUCAUGUCCCUGACUUUAUCAGAUUCGAUUUCGAGGGAAGAAGUUAGGGUCAUGUUAAGUGGAAAACCAAACAUUCGACUUCGGGGGAAGAAGUUAGGGUCAUGUUAAUUAUUACUGAACUUAAACUCAUUUUGAAAAAAUUACUUUGAGAUUUUACGUACAUGAUUUUUUUAUGCAAUGAACGAACAUCCUCAUUAAUCAAUACUACUUGGACUCUUUUUGUUAUAUGAAUAAAAUCACUAAAAUAAGAGAAAAUACAUAACUUAGUGUAUAUGAAAGAAUUUGAGACGGGUGACUUCACGAUGUCUCUUCUCUUAGUUUUAAGAAAAUUUUUACUCACUUUAAUGUUUAAGUUUAAUUUAAUGAGUAAUUAUUUUUUUUUAUGAUGUCUCUUAUCUUAGUUUUAAGAAAAAAUUUACUCACUAUAAUGUUCAAGAUUAAUUUAAUGAGUAAUUAUUUUGUUUAUGAUGUCUCUUCUCUUAGCUUUAAGAAAAAUUGUACUCACUUUAAUGUUUAAGUUUAAUUUAACGGGUGAUUAUUUUUUUAUGAUGUCUUCCCAAAUUUUAAUAGCAUAAAUUAGGAUAUGAAGAGGAUAGUAUUUAGAACAAGUGAAGAUUAUUAAUUAAAUAAAAAAAUUUACAAUACUUGUACACAAAAAUUGCAAAACAGUUUCUUCUCUUGUUCUAUUUCUUGGAAAAUUUGAACUCUCAUUUUCUAAUAAAAUGUUUGUUUGAAAUAUUAAUCAAGUUUAGUAAAAAUAAUUGAGUUUAAUGGUAUAUUUUUAGAAGCAAGUUUUUUUAAUAAUAAAAAAGUGAGAAAAUUGGGAAUUUUUUUAAAUAAUAAUAUAAAAAAUAUAGUAGAAGAGAGAGUAUUGACAAUAAUAAGGGUAGAGAAGUUGUGAACGAGUUUCAUGACUUGUUUGCCUACUAAACUAAAGUCUUGGACGGAGUUCACUUCUUUUUUCUUUUUCUUUUUUUUAUAUAUAUAUAUAUUAAAUAUCUCACUUAAAUUCUAAUUCUAAAAUAUUUUUUUUAUUAAACUUUUUCAUUCAAUUUUUUCUUUAUUUAUGUAUAUAUUAGGGGUCUUUUAAAAAAUAUAACGGUAAAGUAUGUAUGCCAUAUUGAAUAAUUUCGAAAACUAAAAAAUGCCACAGACUCACAAUGGAAAAUUUAAAAAAUGUCCUGAUUAAUUGGGAUCAAGCGCAAUUAAUUUGAAAAACAAUAAUUUAAUAUUUGAAAAAUGAUCAUUUAGGGCUAUCCAAUAUUCUAACGAUUUUUUUAUACGAUUUUUCAUAUUUGUCACACGAUCUAAACAACCAAAUAACCAUUUGAAUUUUUUUUAUAUAUAUAUUUGGUACACGGAACCAAAUAACAAUUUAAAAUUUAUUUUUAAAAAUUACAGAAAAAGAAUAGAAGAAAGGACGACCAAAAGAACUACAGACCUAAAAUAUUUUUAAAAAAUGGUUAACUUAAGGAACCUUUUCAUUUUGUUAUAGCGAACGUAAAUAUUACGUCAGUUUGUUAUAUUUAUAAAAGUUAACAUAAUAUCUCAGUCUCAAAUUUUUAAAUUUCUUAUUAAAUUCACAUUUUCAAAUUUAUUUUGAUUAUUUCCUUAUUAACCACCUAUUUAUUCUUUUUUUUCUUUAUAUAUAUAUAUUUAUUAAAUAUCUCAAUUUCCAAUUUUACAUUAUUGUUCUCAAUUUCCAAUUUUACAUUAUUGUUUCCUUAUUAACAAAAUUUUUUGUUCUUUUUUUCUUUAUAUAUAUAUAUAUAUCUCAAUUUUCAAUCAAAAAUAUAUGUUUCCUUACUAAAUUGAGACCACGAACAAUUUUAAUUUAAUUAUUUCUAUAUUAACAUUUAAUUUCCAAUUUCAAUUGUUCGACCUUCAAAUUUUUUCAUGAAUAGAAUCUUUUUUAAGGAAGUGAUACACAACUUCCAUUACGUAGGUUUAACUGGUCAAAUUAUGGGUGACGUGGAUUACUAGAAGUCGUGUACUUCAAAAACACAAAAGUACUCUAUUUUUUUUCAUAGUUUCUUGUUAUACUCCAUUUCUAAAAUUUCUUUUCAUACUAUCCUAUUUUUGUUAUUAUUUAAAAGAACAUUUUUUUUUAAAAUACUAUGAGAAAAUAUGUAAAUUUCAAUCAAACAGUAGAGAGUGAAGAAAAGAGAGAUUAGAAAAUGACAAGUUGGGAAUUAUCCAAAACAAUUUGAACAGGAAAGAACAAUUAAAGUUAUUAUUAUUAUUAUUUUAAAGAGGGCUUUUAAAAACUAUUUAGAUUAAAAAUAAAAAUAAAUGAGAAACCAAUAAAUGAAUCCCAAAGUGCAUUGGAACAAGUUGCAUCUUUGACUAAAAGAAUCAACACACUACAACUCUACAACAUUUUAUUAUGUUUAUUAUUACUCUUAUUUUUAUUAUUAAUAAUUUAUAUUUAAAUUUAAACUAUUGUUUCAUUUAAUAUUUAAUUCAUAUUAACUCUUCAACUUAAACCAUUUUACUUUCUGAUGUUUGUUUUACUCGCUUGAAUUAAGUAAAUGGAUCAAUAAAAAUAGAUGAUAAAAUAUAAUAGUGAUUCAAAUAACCACUUUUAAAAUAUAUAAAAUAAAAUAGACAUUUAAAAUAAUAUUAACUAAAAUGAACCCAAAAAAAUUUAAAAUUUUAAAAAGAACAAAACUAGGUAAUAUGGAAUUUUCAAAUAUGUUUUAGUUAAGAGUUCUUUUAAAAAAAUUGGAAGUAACAAUUUAGACUUAAUAAUUUUAUUUGUAUUUAUAAGAAUCCAUCUCCCUUUUAUUGUGCGAGAAUUCAAUGAAUAUAUAUUAACUAAUUUAUUCAUGUGUAUAUUCUAUAUACCAUAUAAUGAGUAAAUUUGUGUAACUAAACAAAAAAAAAGUAGUAACAAGAAUCAAAAUAUUCAAUAACACUUUACAUUUAAAAUUUGAAAUCAAAUACUUAAUGGUUUCUAUAUUCUUUUUGUAUCCUAGUUAUUGGGUACUUUUAACAUAAAAUUACUCUAAGCUAAGCGUAUAUAAUUUUGAAAUUACUAGUAAUUUUAAAAAAUAUAAAGUUUCAAUUAUAUGUAUUAUAUAUCAUCUCUUAAUCUUCCAUUCAUAGUCGUUAUUUAAGUUAUUAACCUAUUCAAUAUUUUAAAAAAUCGACAAAUCUUCUAAGAGAAACAACUAAAGAAAACUUAAAAGAUCAGUAGCCAUAAAAUUUUAAAAUUAAAUAUCCAAAUAGAGAGGUUGAUCUUAAAAGAAAAAAGAAACGUGCAUGUGAAUACAAAAUUUUGAAACUUGGAUACACAUAUAGAAAAACUUUUUAAGUUCAAGACUUACUGUAAUAGGAAUGGAAAGUUUUCAAAGACAAAUAAUUGGAUGAGAUACACAAGAAUAGUAAGUACUACCAGACAAAGCACCUAUAUGUAUAUAUAUAUUUAUAUAUGUAUGUAUAUUCAUAUAUAUAUAUAUAUAUAUAGAUAUUAGUCUAUGGGCAAUACCAGAGAAGCCCCAGUUUGUGGAAAACCACUUUUUAGACUGUUUGACAGAAAACCAGGGGGAGGAGAAGGAAAAGUCUACUUUUUAUUAUUAUGAAUGUGAUUUAUUAUGAUUGUGAUUAUUAUUUUAUAUCAUACUUAUAUUAUAUUAUUAUUUUGGGCAAUUUAAGUUAUGAGGGGUCAGGUUGGAAUCAGAUAAGUUUAGCAACUUGAGGUUGAGGCAGCUUCCAAUAAUAAUAAUAAUAAUAAUAAUAAUUCCCAUCCCCCACCAUAUCUCUCACAAUUCCCUUCCCCUUUUUUAUAUUUAUUUUUCCUCAUCAAUGCAUUUAAUUUCUUUACAUUUUUCUAAUCAAAACCCUUUUUUUUUCUUUUUUUUUUUUAGUUUACAAAGUUUGUGUCAUAUCAAAAACAUUGUUAAAAUUAUUUGAUUUGAUGUGACCUUGUGGUAAAUUCAGAGAACAUUAUACAAUAAUUCAAUUACUUGUUUAUUAUUGCAUAAAAAUCAAUCCCAUUUUAUUAUUUUCUAUAUGGUAUACAUAAAGCUGAUCUUUUUGUAUGGGAAUAGGACAAAUUUUUUAGCUGAAGAAAAAGAGUACUGUAUACAUUAGAAAAAGACAAAUAAAAUAUCUUGUAACCCCACAAUAUUAUGAAAUAUAAUUUGGUGUUUUCCCACCUUCUAGGGUGGCAACCACUUCAAUAUGAGCAACCCCUUCAUGAUUGGAAAAUCUCAUGUAACUAUGUGUGUAUGUGUAUGUAUCUAAUAUGUAUACCUAUGGAUUUUCUUUUUCUUUUUCCUUUUUCCUUUUUUAGUGGGUUUUUUAUAUUAUAAUCUUUCAUUUGCGUAAUUACUUUUUGCAUUAGUCAUUUUCUGACUUUUUGGGAUUGAGCCCAUAUGUCUCUCCUUUAUAACAUAAUAAUUUUAGAAUACAUCAAUUGAAUAAUUGCUUCAUUUUUGUAUAUAAAACAAAUCGGCUUGAUGGCAAAAUGUUAACAAACAGGUGAAUCUAUAAGGACGUGACAAUUCAUUUUUACAUUUUAAUGUUUACUUUUACAUUGUUAGUUUAUUAUUAUUUACUAUUAACUUACUUUUUACUCUAAAUAAUAAAAUACUUAAAAUAUUUAUUAAAUAAUUUACAUGAUUCUAGACUCUAUUCAUCUAUCAAUUCUAUCCAUAUGAAGGAUUGAUGUUAAUAAAUCUAAAAUUUUGUUAUGUUUAUAAAUAUGUUGGUGCAUUUUUGCCAUAUUUGAAAAUGUUUGUUUUCUUUAUUAUAUGUAAUAGAUUUUUCGUAUUUAUUUGAUUAUCAUCCUUUUAUUUUUGUUAAGUAUGUUGAAUAAAUCUUAAUAUUAGUCUUUAGUUUCUUAUUUGUUUUUUCAAGCAAUUUUGUCUCUUUAAACAUGCUUUUCCUUCUUAUAAACUAUGAUAAUAUAUAUAAUAAGAAUUUAGUAGAUUAAUUAGAUUUUUCAUAAAUAAUAAAAAAAAAUUGUAAGCUCAAUACUUUUAUACAAAGUCUACAUAAAAUUAUAUAUAUAAAAAAACAAACCCAUGAUUUUGACGAUUUCUUACAUAGAAACUAAAUAGUUGUUAGAAUUAAAUUGUUAUAAAACUUAAAGUUCAAAAAUAAAAUGAUUAUAAAUUAAAGUUUAAAGAUAAAAUUGUCAAAUUUUCUUUUUAUAAAUAUUAAGGAGGAAAAUAGAUUUUUCUUAAAAAGAAAAAAUCUAAAAAGUAAAAAGGGUAGAAGCAAUUCUCUUAAUUGAACUCUUGGAUAUGAAACUAUAAGUAGUUUUGAAGCCACCCUUAAAAUAGUUGAAUAUUAGAUUUAAAUAUGUGGGGACAAAAGACCACUAAUUUCUUUGAAAUUAAAAAGGGGCCGAUAAGAAUAGGCUUUGAAAUUCAAACUAUUUAUUAAUGAGUUCUUUUUCUAAGUUUGGUAGAAAUUAAUACUAAGCUCAUGAAGCAUCUUUUUUGACCAACGAAAAAUCAAAUCAACAAUUCUUCUAAUAAAUUAAUCAAUUUGUACAAAUUUGAUCAAGGUUUUUCUGUUGUUCAAUUUUAGGUGACAAAAUUCAUACGUAAUUAAUUUGUAUGGUGCGAUUAGACCUUAUCCUUUUAAGGUCAAUAAUAUCGACAUCCAAAACCUUUUUAUAAGUAUGCAAAUUUUUAAAAUUUCAACUAAUUAAAUAAAUAUGUUUAUAAUUUGCGUUGAUCAAAUUAGCACGCAUAUUUUUAAAAUUUGUUAUUUUUCUUAUAAAUUUAUUUGGGACGUUUAUGAAAUAUUUAGAUAAACAAGUGCAAGUUAUAUAUAUAAUACAAAUAUUUAUACUCUAGUGUUUCACUUUAAACACAAACUUCUAUUUGUUAAUUGUAACUAAUAAUUCUCAUAUUUCACAUUGUUUUUAAAGUUAUAGUUAUGUUCUCUUAAUUAGGAUAAUUCUCAUAUUUCACAUUGUUUUUAAAAGCUAUGUUCUCUUAAUUAGGUAGACAUUUAGAUGACAAAUGAAUCAAGUUGACAUAUUAAUAUUAUUUUUUAAAAUUUUAUAAUAUUGACCCUUUCAUAUUUCAACGCUAAAAGUUAUCAUUUUUCUUUCUAAAAAAAUCAAUCACAAUUAAUAAAAGGUUGAAGAUCAACACUCAAUUAUUAUACAUAUACACAUAAAAUAGGAUUAAUUUGAAACAAUUUAGAAUCUAUCCUAAGUUGAUUUGAUCGUAUAUUAAACUUUAAAGAAAAAAAAAUUGAUGGUUGAGAUGAAAAGGUUAGUAUUUAUUUAUUAUAGGCAUGAAGAGUCAAGAUCCCCCAAAUGUUGAUUAAAGAAAUAAUUAACAAUUAAGAAAUCAAAGUGAUAUUUUGAUUUAAAAAAGAAAAAUAAAGAAUAAAAAAAGUCAUGGUAUGUUAAUUAAUACACGUGGUCCAACCAAAAACACGUUGGGUGGGGCUUACUAAAACUACGAAAGGGUGUGGCGACCCAUGCAUUCUGGGACACGUGUUUCAAUAUGAUUUGAAGUACACAUGCAGGUACAUCUUGUGUACGUACGUCAGUCUAAUUAUUGAGACAGAUUCAAUUUAUAUAAUUUAAAUUAACAAAAUAAAUAAUUCAUUCAUCAUUUUCUUUUUUUAUAAAUUAAAAUCAACUUUUACCCUUCCUAUUCCCAAAGAAAUAUAAAUGGGUUAAACUCUAUUAACCUUUUUUUUUUUAAUAGUUCAGAUAUUAUUUCCAAUAAAUUAAAAUUUUCUAUCAACUUUAGGCUGCACUUUUAUAUUUCUACUGUUUAUGUCAGCAUAUUCUUAUAAUCUUUGUAUUCAUUUCAUAUUCUUAUAUACAUGGGUCGUUUAUGUAUGUUAUUAUUAUUAAUAAUGAAAGAUUAGUUUGACUAAACUAAAAUUUAAGGAGGUUAGUAAUAGAAAAUUGUUAGGGUUGGAAAAGUAUAUAUUAGACAUAAUAAUGCUCGAGGUUUGAAUGAAAUGUAUAUACUCAUAAAAAUAUAUUGAUUAGAUUAGAAAAAGAAAUGUGAGUGAGAUGAGAUAAUGGAUUACAGCAGGGAGAGUGUGUGACAAUGAACGAAGAUUUUGGAGUCACGUGAAAUAAAGUAUUAAUUAAUUACUUUCAAUCAAUUAAUUAAUACUAAUAAUUGAGAUAUAAAGUAAAACAGGCAGAGCCAGUUGGUAUUGUAUUCCUUCCAUUUUCAUUCUCUCCUUCAUUUCUAUAUAUACAAAAUCAAUUUGUUUUAUUCAAAGUAUUAGUUUUGUAUCGAUGUGUCAACACUUUCUUUUAUAUAUGAGUUCAACAUUGACAUAAAAAUGAAAUCGGUAUUUUUAUUAUGUUGUAAAGAAUUCAUGAAACAUGGAAUAAUAAAUUGUUAAUCAAACACAUAAUACACUUACAAUUUAUUUAAGAAGCAUGUUAGACUUCUUUCUAACUACAUUUUUCUUUUGUAAAAUUGAAUAUUACGGGUUUUCUAAUAUAACAAAAAAAAAAAAAAUCAAUUUGUCAUUUUAAAUUUUACUGUAUUUAUAAAUAUAUAGGUGAUAUUGUUGAAAGAAUUUUAUUUUCAUUUAGAUUUGGAAAAGUCAAGUUGAUAUAGAAAACUCUUCAUCAAUUGUACUCUUUGUCAAGAAAGAAAAAAGGAACAAAUAUUAUGAGCUGUCGAAGGAAAGAUAUUUACCAAAUUGAAGAUGAGAUAAUUUUUCACGUCUUUAUUGGUUUUUUUCUGAGAUUUGAAAAUGUAAUAUUUGUUUGAGUGUUAAUUGACUUUACAGUAUUGGUUUCCUUAAUUAGAAAUGUGUAUGUGACAUUUCUUCCAAUUGAAUUCUUACAUAUACAUCACUUAUAAACAAUAGCUACCAUUUUAGAUUAGAUUAUUAGUUUCAUUUAAGUUUAAUUGUUAUCUUUUUCUUUUAUCAUCAUUAUUGUUAUUAUUAUUUCAUUUUGUUUUCAACAUUCUCUUGAACAAACAUUAGAAUAAUUGAACAAACAUUAGAAUAAUUACAAUGGAUAGUAAUAUUAUUAGAGAUAAUAAUAUAUAAGAGUAUAUAGCAACAUUUUUUAAAAAAUUGUAUAGAUAUAUAUGCUAUAUUUUAAAAGAUUACUAUCUAUGCUAGUAUUGUAUCCAAUGCUAAAUAACUUUUUAAAUAAAUAUUUACAAAACUUCAAAAAUUAAUUUAAUUCAUUUAACAAGUGAAUGGUCUUUUUUUUCAUGAAUACACAUUUUAAAUAUCAUUUUUGAUUUUGUAGUUUGAGCUUUCGUUAAUUUUAGUUCAUGUAUUCUCAAUAAAGAUAUUUAAAUUUAGUAUAUCAAAAUUGAUUAAUUAACAACAACAACAACGUUCAUAUAAACACAUAAGAGACAAUAUUGUUACCAAUUUUACAGCAAAAAUACCAAUGAGCAACAACUUUUUUCUUAAAAAGGAAUUCAGCAAGAAACUAUAAAGUAAAUUUAAGAUUGAUUAAGAGUACACCUACUAAAAAAUUAAAUCCUUCAAGUACAUCUUAAAAGUGAUAGAGUAAGUUAAUUAAAAACAAAUUUUUGACAAAUCAUAAAAUUUCCUAGGAAAACUCUAAAAGCUAAAAAGGUUGUGGACUUUGAAAUUGAAGAAGAAAAUAAAGUAAAAAAAAGAAAAAAGUAUAUAAUUAAACCCAUGAGCCACGUUUCAUUUCUAUAAUUUAGUUGAAUAUUAGCAAAUUAAAAAUGGCAUAAAACUUAUGGGGUUGUAUGUGUAAUUAAUGAUUUUAAAAAUGGUUUAAUUUACUUGAAAAAAACAUCUCGAGUGAGUGAAUAAGUCAACUUUGACAAUAAGCAAUCCAAAGAUGACCAAAUUCUAAUUAAUUAGUUAAACUAUAUAUUGAACUUCCCAAGGUGUUUGCUUCUGUGAAUAAAUUAUGCUUAUAUAUUAGCCAAUUAAAACCAUAGCAAAUAGCUUUUUUUGUAUUGUAUUGUCCAAAUAUAUAUAUAUAUAUGUAUGGAAAAAUUAAUGUACUAAAGUUUUGGAUCGGGUGCAAUGCUACAUGUCCUACUCACUUUUUUAAAAAAUUAUUGAAUUGAUUAAAAAAAAAAUUAUAUAGUUGACUUUUUAUAAACUCAAGAAGUAUUUGAAGGGUUAGUGAUCUUAUGUAAACUAGGGUUAUAUUCAACUUAGCUAACUAAGGUGUCAAUCUUCGAUUACGAUAUUGAUGAUUUGAAUAUCUCAUUUUGACAUAUUAUUAAAUUUGUGGGGAAAAAAAAUAUACUUAUAUAUUUAGUACAUAAAAUAUAUGUUUAUCUCAUGCUACACAAAAAAAAUUAAAAUUAUGUAAUACUAAUGGUUAAAUUUUUUAAAUGUGAUUACUAAAUUUAAUUUGGUUAAAGAAUUAUAUAUAUAUAUAGUUGUUUUUGAGUUUAUUGUUGUUGUGAAUCUUCAUCCUCAAGUUAUUGUUAAAUUUCUUAUUUCUAUUUUUUUAAUCUUAAAUAUUAACUUAUAAAUUAGAAAAUUUAAGACUCGUUUAAUAAAUACUUCCGAUUUGAUUCUUAGUAAUUCCGUUGUUAAACAUUAAAAUAGUUUAAGUUGUAUUGUCAAUUACUUUGCAUAUUAUCCUUUCAAUUUAGGUGUCAUGAGUUCAAUUUUAUUAUUAAAGUUAUAUAUAUGUUUGUAUUUUUAAAAAGGUAUAUUAUUGGGUGAAAUUUAUUGUAAAAUUGACAAGAAAAUUAUAAAAAUAGAGUUGACUUGAAUUUAAAAAUGGAUUUAUAUUAUAUGUAUAAUGUGAAAUUUUGAGGAGAGGUAUCAAUCCGAUGUAGCAAAAAGCUGAGAAUUAACUUAAUGCAUGAAUGAUAGUGAAUAUAAUCAUCAUUUGACAUUUUCUUUUCUCUUUUUAAUAAAUCAUUUGACAUUUUUUUUGUCUUCACCAAAAACUUUGACGAACUUUAUUAAUUAUAAAAUUAAUGAAAAUCAAAAUUCAACUCAUUAACUUGCAAGCUUUAUUUGAUUAAAUUACACGCCAUUAAUCUAUUAUAUAUUUAAAUAUGUUUGUAUGUAUAUGUGUAUAUCCAAUCCAAUUCCUGGAUAGAUCCAAACAAACUUAAUUCAAAUUUGUGAGGAUUGAGUUGAAUUACAAAACAAUUACAAAAGUCACUAUAUUUAUUUUAGUUCUUGAUUUUUCAAGUUUUUAUAUGUAUAGAAAUUAUCAAAAUCAAUAUUUUCAAAGUACACUGUGUAAAUAAAAUAAAGUAUAUAAUCGUAUUUUGCUUUCGUUUAGGUCAACAAUUAAUUUUGUUAUCAAAUGUUAUAGUGUUUAUCAAAUGAGAUUAUACUUAAAUUGAAAUAUUAAUCAAAUUAUCUAUUGAUUAACGACACGUUACUUUCUAGUUUAUUUGGUGUCAAUACAUUUUUAAUUACUUAAUGUUUACAAUACGAGUUAAAAUUAAUUUUAGACUGAAAUUGGAAAAUAAUUUAUUCUCGAAUAAGCUUGAGUUAUAUCAAUCCAACUAUAUAUGUUUUUAGUGAAGGUGAGUUUAGCUUGAUUUAAUCCACUGUUCUCGUAAUUUCUUUUUAUAGAAAAUAUGCCAUAUACUUCUAACUUUCAUUUAACUUUGUUUAAUCCGUAAUUACCCCUAUAGGCCCAAGCCCAACGCUCUUAUCCAAAAGACCAAAGGCCCAAUACUUUUCAACUCACACCCUUAAGUUUCAACCCACUUUUCAUAUCCAAAAAAAAAAAAAGAAAAAAGAAAGAGAAAAAAAUCACUCACUUUAGACCUAUUUUACACAAAGUAUCUAAAAACUUUUCGAAAAUUUUAAAAAAUAGUAGAUUUUACAAAAUAUUUACAACAUAUAGCAAAUCCUAUCGGUGAUAGUCAUAUAUGCUAUAGUGAUAUAGUGAUAGAACACUAUCGGAAUAAAAUCUAAAAUUUUAGCUUGUAAAUAUUUUAAUUUAUUAUUUUAUUUUUAAAAAUAUCCCAAAACUUUGUUUAUUUAUUAGUUAAGAUUUGGUCGAACCAUUUUAUGUUUGUAACAAUUAUAAAUACAAUUUAUUUUUUGAAAAUUCAUAUAAUAGAAUACCAUAGUUAUAUUAUAUCACAUUUAGCAUCUUUCAUAAUUAAUAUAAUAAAUAAUUCAGAUUUAUAUUUGAUUUAAUAUUAGGAUAUGAUACUUCAUUUUAAUAUGACAUCAAGUUGGAUCUAAUAUGGUAAUAAUAUAUUAAUUAAUUUCUACAUUCUUUCACCUUACCGACGUCUAUUAAAACAUUUAUAAAAAAAUUGGCAACACUAGAUUCAACUUGUAAUGAGACCGCUAUUUAGUCCGACGUCUAUUAGGACAUUUAUGAAAAUUUGGGAAUGCUAGGUGAGACACCCCUAGUUAGGUUAUAGUAGUUAAAAUCCAAAAAAUAAUUAUAUAAAAAAAUUAAAAUAAAGAUCUUCAAAGUAUAGCAAACUCUAUCGUCGUUAAACCAAUAUUUGUAUUAAUAGUCUAUCAAUGAUAGACUCAUAUUGUAGAGUACUAGAGUGAGCAUGGUCAAGUUUUUGAAAAAUGCAUACAAAAUAAAGACCAAUUUAUAUAAUCAUUCUACAUGGAUAAAAAAAUGUUAAUUUAAAGAAAUUGAUAAAUUGUUAUAAGUUACCCUCUGAUAGGCACCGUGUGGAAAUUCAAAAGGGAAAAUUGUUAGGGAAGCAGUAAUGGCAUAUUGGGUCGAAGCUUUGGAGCGUUAAACUCAAAACAAAAAAAAACACAAAAUUGAUAUUAGCAUUGCUUCCUAUAAUUUAAGCAAUGAAAAAACAAAUAAUACAUCUUCAUCAUUUUAAAUUAUAGGUUAAACCAAAAGAAUUUACAAUAGGAAGAAAAAUAAGGUGAAAACUGGAAAGAUGGAUCCAGAUUAUUGACGUCCAAAGAGUAAAAGAGUACACAAACCAUUAGAAAGGUGGUCGAGACAAUAAGAGUAGAUACGAAAUCCAGAGUCUUAAAAGACAUUAUAGAAAUUAGAGAAGAAGAUGGUAACGCCGCUCGCUAUCUGCACCGACACCAUUCUUGAAAUCGACCGACGAAGAAGAAGGCUCGGUGAAAAGAGAUGGCUGGAAAAUUACUUCCACUUCUUGAAUUUUCCUCCGCCAAACAUCCCGUGUUUCCCAUGUUUGUGUUUCCCAAACUUUCCGUGCUUGAACUUCCCAUGGUGCUUGAAUUUUCCACCGUGACCGUGACCAUGACCAUAAUGAGCAACACCAUGGGGGUA
rnacentral:lncRNA from 1 species